AGGACGAACGCUGGCGGCGUGCUUAACACAUGCAAGUCGAGCGGAAAGGCCCUUCGGGGUACCCGAGCGGCGAACGGGUGAGUAACACGUGAGUAACCUGCCCCUAGCUCUGGGAUAGCUCCGGGAAACCGGGAUUAAUACCAGAUACGACCACUUUAGACAUCUGUCGUGGUGGAAAGGAUUCCGGCUAGGGAUGGGCUCGCGGCCUAUCAGCUUGUUGGUGGGUAACGGCCUACCAAGGCGACGACGGGUAG
rnacentral:rRNA from 1 species